GGCCGCGUGGCGCAACUGAAUAGCGCAUCAGAUUUCGGCUCUGAGGGUUGGGGGUUUGAAUCCCUUCGCGGUCACUA
rnacentral:tRNA from 5 species